ACGUAGGGGGCAAGCGUUAUCCGGAAUUACUGGGUGUAAAGGGAGCGUAGACGGUGAUGCAAGUCUGGAGUGAAAGGCGGGGGCCCAACCCCCGGACUGCUCUGGAAACUGUGUAACUUGAGUGCAGGAGAGGUAAGCGGAAUUCCUAGUGUAGCGGUGAAAUGCGUAGAUAUUAGGAGGAACACCAGUGGCGAAGGCGGCUUACUGGACUGUAACUGACGUUGAGGCUCGAAAGCGUGGGGAGCAAA
rnacentral:rRNA from 1 species